AAAUGGGCAGAAUUUUUCUCACGGGCCUGAAAGGGCACGUCUGACCUUUCUACCCCCUUUAUGUACCAAUGUGACAGUCAGAAGAGAGCAAAGAGCAGGACCCUUUGAGAUGCCUCCCCCAUGGCCUUCUGACUGGGGGAAACUUUCACCCUCUUUCCCCUGGCCCCAGACCAGGUCUCAGCCCCUCCUGGACCCCUGGCCCAGGGAUGAGGAGGAUGCUCAUUUUCAAGUGAAUAUCCCAGCUUCCGUGUCUCAGCACAAAGCAAAGCAGUGAGGUUCUGGACCAGCCCUCCCUGCUACUGGCCCAGCCCUCUGCCCAGUGGCUCCUCAUUUUGCCUCCGUAUGCCCAAGGCCUUCUCAGAGCAUCUAUUUUCCAUCACUGUCUGUGUGUUCCUCUUCUUUUUCAACCUCGUACCCAUAUUUUCCUUCACCUUCCUCUAUCUGGUCUUUUUUUCUUCUCUUCUCUUUCCAAUGCCCCAUAAAACGGGGAGGCACUGGUGGCUACUGUGCCGUGUUCAUGCAACAAGGAUAGGAGGGAGGCUGGUCGGUGAUCUCGCCCACUGGUGCACUGGGUCCUUGGCCGCUGGCCUGGGGUGGGAUGGGCCACACUGAAUGGAACUAGUGUGGAGACAGGAAAAGCAAACACCUCCAUGUGGGCCUCCGUGCCUUGGAGUGGAGGUGGGGCUGGGGUCCGGGUCAGAUCAACCUCUGUUCGCCCCUGCUCUUCUGGACCCCUGGCUUCUCAGACCCUCAUCCCAUAAUGUCCAGAGGAAAGUGAUCAAGCCCUCUGGGAGACACCUUUGUUUAUAAUCUUUUCCUGCUCUUCCCAACCCCCAGGCAGUGCCCUUCCUGCCUAGAGAUGCCAGGAAAGUCUGGGCCUGGGAUGGGCUGCCUGGCCAACCCUCCAAAAUAAGAGCUGAGCAGGCAGUCCUCUUGUACCUAAGCACCCAGCGGUACCAUCCACCUCCAGGCUGAGGGGGACCCAAAGAUGCUCUGCCCGUUGUACUACUGUCUCUCCUCCAUCCCUCUGCCUCAAGUCCUCCCCAGGUGUGUCCAUGCCUGGCACAGUGAGGGCCUGGGCAGAACCUGGGAGAGACGUGAAGAGAGCCUGGCAGUGGAAUAGGCUCUGAGGCCAGCUCGGUCUCAGUUCUCAGCCUCAGCCCUUUGUCUGAGGCUUUGUGAUGGUAAAUGCUGCUCCUAAAUCAGGUCUGUGACACUGUUAUUGUUGCCCAGGGCGCAAAGAGUCUAAACUUUUCCCCUGAGGUCAAGAAUGUGGCCAGUCCCCAAGCAGUCCAGAGCCAGGCCUGGGUGGCUGGGGGUGGGGCUGGGGCCUCACCCCGAGCUGGGGCGCGAUGUGUGGAGGGGAGGGGGUCAGGAGGAACAAAACGCUUUGAAAUGCCUCCUCUCCAUCACUGCCAACAUUGUCCGCUGCCCGCGGGGGGCCUGGCACCGCCUCGCCGGGGCUCCGGCCCCCAGCCCUGGCCAGGCCUGGCCCAGCAUCGGAAAAUGGACAGAAGGUUAUUGUCCCUUCCCGCAGCCCUUUGUCUGCCCCAGUUCCAGAUGUCUAGGCUGGGACCAGGGAACUGACCCAUGGUGGGCAGGGAGGAGGGGACAAAGGGGGAGAACACGGGUCACUGCAUCCUGAGGAGUCGUUCCCAGACCCUGAUAUCCCACCCAGCCACAGCCAAGUCACCUUCUGGGCCAUUUUAGCCUUGGGAUUGUCCCUAUUCCUUGGCCCUCUCCCCAGACCAGGUUCUGGUCUCUGGAGGAAAGGCACAGGGGGUACAGUUAGAACAGGAGGCCUUGGGAGACCCAGAGGCAGGCUGAACCCCUCUACCCAGGUAACUGCCAUGACCUUGAGCCUGCUUUUCUGUGUAGGGGACUCCUGAGCCACUAAUGAUGGAGCUCUACCUACAAACUCCCCUCGGAACCUGGAGGCACCCAUGGUGGAAGGGUGUCUCUGUCCCUGAUUGUGCUCAGUAGUCUUACUGACAAGAGAGGACAUUUCCCAGCAAUUCUCAGUUGGGUUGUGGGCAGACCAUUACACCUGCAUGGUGAAACCAGGGUCAGUUAUUCUCGUCUCCGUUUUCCAGCUCUGGAGACAAAAAGGCUGAGAGGGAAGCGCUAACCCCAAGCCAGGCAGCCAGGAGCGGCCGGCGAGGCUGGGAUCCUCGCCCAGGCUGACCACAGCCACCAGGAGGAGGAAUCACUAAUAAAUACUUGGAAGGUGCCUUGGCCCCGCUCUUCAUCUGGGACUAGUGGUGUUAACUCUAUCUGUUGGUUUUCCCAUUUCACAGGUGGGGCUCCCGAGCCCAGACCUAGGAGAGAGGGCUCAGGGGAACUUAAGUAGCUCAGAGGGCCGGUCUGCAGUCACCAGUGCUGAGCUCAGAGGGUUGGUCUGCAGCCACUAGCGCUGAGCAGCAUCCACCCAGCUCUUGGUGACUGAGGCGCUUCACAGCAUGGGUUUCCUACUUUUCUCUUAGGUAAAUAUUCCCCCCAUGUCACAAAGUUGUCAAAAAGCCGUCAAAUGAGUUGUGAAGGCACUUAAUUAAAUCCUGGUGGCUUCAAGGCUAACAGGAGGAUAGCUAUUGUUAUAAUUAUUCUCAAUUGGUAACAUUUAUCCCUUUGAACCUCACUUGGGUCAUCUGGGGACAAAGCUCUGGAGAGGGGCAUGGUAGUUGUUGAGGGGGUUGGCGACAGUCAUACUUAGCCUUCUCAGGGUCUCUAGAAGUCUCUGCUAAGUCUGGAGAAUGCAGAAAGCUGGAGGCAGACGCUGCUGCCUGGACCCGAGGAGUUAACCACUCCCAGGCCCUGGCCCAGUAGGGCUGCCACGCUGCAACCUAGAAACGAUUUUAGCAGAGGAGCCAGGGCUACUUUCUGAUGGGGAAAACAGCUGGCUUCUUAGGGAAAACAUCUGGCCUAGUCCCAGCAUCCUAAGAGAAGAGGCAGAACCUCAGAGGACAGAACCACAUAUGAGGGUCCUCAAAGAGGAAGGCAUAAUCAAGAGGGAGAGGGUGGUUCUUCGGAGCAUGUGGGUGUCGGGUGGAUACCCUGGAGACAAGGGGUGUGGACCAAUUUCUACUGCAGAAGUCAGAGUAUGCUAAGUUUAAACAGACUGGGCAAGAGUAUCUCCAGUUGGGAUCUGGGGUCUUAAUCUUCCCUCAAGCAGGGCAAAUGAAGGACAGGGGAGCCUAAAGUGGACCUCUGGCUUGGAACCAGAAGUGAGAAUGGUGCCCGGGCAGCUCUCCUGGUGAGUUGAACUGCACCCAGAACCAAGAACUGGGUGAAGGCUCUUCCUCUGGCCAGGAUCGUGGGCUUCUGUGACCACAGAGCAAGACAGGGUCCCAGAGCCUCCAACCCAAGAGACGGGAAGCUGACAGCUGGUAAGAGUUCCAUCCAAACAUCCUCUUUGCUUCGAGUGCCCAUCCCCAGCCUACCUGAUUGCCAGGCUAUGAGAACUUGCAGCCUGGAGCCCCGACUACCCCUGCGCUUGGCAGGGAAGCAAUACUUGGGACCAGGAUAGACAGGUUGAGUAGAAUAGGCUGAGGGUUAUAGUGGCAUGAGGUUAGACUCCAUCUGAGCUAUUUACCUCCAAGCCCCUUAACUCUUGUGACCAAGGGGUCUUCUCUAGCUUGCCUUCCUGACCCUCCAGAGUUAACCCCUUCCAAUCUGAGUGCAUCAGCUUUUGGCUGGUACGCUUUUCUGGUAUCACCUUUUCUCCCUGGAAAAGGACAUGCCAGUGAUCACCAAACCUUGGUUCCCAGUGGGAUGUGGACUAUAGGGGAAGGGGACAGUUCUUCCAGGGUCUCCGGUUCAGGAUAGCCAACUGAAGCCCUGGGGUACUGGCGCCACCACAUGGUUCUGUGCAGAACUACAGUGGCUGAGGGGCUCAAGAAUGCCGAGGGCCAGAAACCCUGAGAGCAGCCCUUGCAUCUGGUCUCCAUCCUACUCAGCCAGCUGGGUACCGCAGUAACUGUUUUCCAGGCUCUGAGCAGUACCCAACAGAACCCAGAGCUCAGGGCUCAGGGUACAGUUCCAAGCUGUAUACAACAGCAGUUCCAAGCUUAGCCUGAGCCGGAAUUACCUGGAAUUUUAAAACGGAUGAUUUGGGGCGCAGGUCAGUGGUAGACUCUAGCAUGGAUCUCUAGGUUUGACCCCCCAGAACCCUAAGAAAAAGGUCAGUCAUGGUAGUAAAAACCUGUAAUACCACAACUCAUGAGUCUAAGGCAGAAGGGUCAGGUGCUCCUGGCCAUUCUUGAGUCCAUAGUGAGACUGUCUCCAGAAAGGAGGGGAAAAUGGUAAAAAAGAAAUAGUUCAUUUGAUUCCACUCCCAGACUUCAGACUUCCUAGGCAUGGGGAUGGGGUUGAUAUUUGCUUUUCUCUUUUUCUAAUAAGGUAGGGUCUUGAUAUGAAGACGGGAUGGUGCGUGCUCUGUAGCACAUGCUGGCCUGAAACACCCAGUCCUCCUGCUUUCGCCUUAAGUUGGCUAAGAUUACAGACCCACACCGCAAAUCCUAGCUUUUGUAUUUGAUGGAAGGGAGGGGAAUGGCUGGCUGGCACAGGGUUUUACUGCUUAGUCCUGACUGGCCUUGAACUUGUGACACUCUUUCUUCAUCAGGCCUCCUGAUGCUGGGAUUACAAGCAUGAGCUGUCCUGCCUCGUUGGCCUUUGCACAGGGUUUCUCUGUGUAGUAAUUCUAGCUGUCCAGGAACU